CGAUCCGAAUGCGAUUGUAUAUACAAGCACCCUUCCAGGCAACAAAUUGAGCAUCCAUACUUCUUGGUGGAGGAAUUACCGAAAUAGUAGGGAUGUUGGCACGCUUGGAAUGGAUACGCUCUUCCAGUAAAUGAGCAAAGCCCGGGAACUGACCAGCUCCACCGACGAUCAAAAUGCUUGAGUAAAGAUUUUUUGCCUUCUCAUCACUUAAAUUUCCAUCACAUGCACUAAAUAUACUCUGGUUGAUUGCAUCAUCCAAAGGAUAUAUCAGUUUCUCAUUCUUUAUUUCUGGAGCAGCAAGUGAGCCACAAUAUACUACCCGUGGAGGCUUGAAUUUUACCGAAGGUGUCACCAAAUCACUUUCUUCUUUUUUCUCUUCAUCAUCUUUUCCAUUAGCUUUGAUGUUGGAUAUCGGCGUAGAUAUUUGCAAUAAAGUGGUUUGGGCAAGUGAUUCGGGAUUAUUCGGUUGGUUGUCAUAUACAUCGACCGGCACUGGAAACAAAGUAUACCGAUCAUGAAGUUUAUUUUCAUUUUCAAAAAUGUCAGGGCGAAAGAAUCCAAGAGGUGCAAGCAUUGUUUCGUCAAGGCUUU